UCAACAAGAUGGGAGCUCAAGUUCUACAUUGAACAGAUCGAGAGAUAUAGGAAAAGGGCCCCAGGAUGGUGACACACACUACCCAUGUAUCAGGGUAGAAUUUCCACGAUGGGAAGAUGGGGAUCCGACCAGUUGGAUCUCUAGGGCGGAAAUUUUUUUUCGUUUUUACAGAACCCCAGAAGAAUCCAAGGUAGAGGUGGCCUCAAUCCAGCUCGAUGGAGAUGCAAUAUAGUGGUAUGAUUGGUACGAAACUUGCCAUGGAAUUCCUUCGUGGGAGCAGUUUAAAAGAG
rnacentral:lncRNA from 1 species